GCGGCGUCUCGUGGAGAGGCGUGGCCUCGCUUCAGCCGCUCUUCCCGCCCUCUGCCGGGGGGGGGAGCGCUCACAGGCUGAAGGACGUUGUGAGGCUCGUAGCAGUAUUAGCACGGCAGCCUUCACUCGUGUGGAAAGCAGCGAGUUAACCACGCGAGCAAACGAAGGCUGGCUUCAAACAGGAACGUCCCACCUAGAUACGGCUCCGUGCCAUGGGAUACAGAGUUCCAGUUGAUCUACAGAUCUGCUUGCAGUGGAGUGGUUCUUACUGUGUCAGCUGGUGGUUUCAGCUAGGCGAAAUCACUUAGAAAUCAUUCAAAAGAAAACCUGCAAGCACAGUUAUGCAUAAAUCAGGAGACGGAAUGGCAAUUCUUUAAGGAUAAAAUGGAAAAACAAAUGAAAAUCUGUGUUAACAAACAUUUUUCCUUCAUUUUUCAUGUUUCUUUUAAUUAUAGAAUGACUGGCAUUGGAAAAAACUCACAUGCUACAGAAUCGUAGGGGUUAGAAGGGACCUCUGGAGAUCCUCCAGUCCAGCUCCCUGCUAGAACAGGUGCCCUGUAUCAGGUCACACAGGAAGGUGUCCACGUGGGUUUGGAGCAUGACUGGAGAAGGAGGUCCCACAGCUCUCUGGACAGCCUGUUCUAGUGCUUUUCUACCAGGUCUAUCAGCCUUUCUUGUAAGGAAGAUGCUCCAGGUCCUUAAUCAUGUUUGUAGCCCCCUGCUGGACUCUUUCUGUAAGUUCCCUGUCCUUGAACGGAGAGCCCAGACUUGGCCUCAGCACAGCAGAGUAGAGUGGGACGGUGGCUUUUCUCAAUCUGCUGACCACGUCCUUUUCAAUGCAUCCCAGGAUACCGUUGGUCUUCUUGACCACAAGGGCACACUGCUGGCUCAUAUAUUCCAUAUAAAUAACUACAAUUUGUCAGUGGCCAUGAUUUUCCUUUUCACAAGCCCACUGAUCACAAAAAGGAUGUGAAGUAUUAUUCCUUUUCAGGACUUCAAAAUAGUAUUUUGUCCUGUUUGAAAAUGUACCUUUAUGCAGGUGUUUUUAUUCACUUACAAAGGUCACUUGGCCAAGUUGGCUGCCUAUUGAUCUCUGCUUUUUGCGGGAUUUGUUUUCUGAUGUUGGGUUGCUGGAACUGACUCCAUAUGGCCUCAGAUGACCCCUGAUGUUGGUAUGCAGAAGUGUCAGUGUGUGUGUUGGAGGCAGAGCUGCCCUUUGAAACUAGUUGUCUGUUUUUAUCUGUAAUGUCAGCCCACACCCUGAGUUACUGAUAUCAGUAUGUUAAAAAAAAAAAUAUCUCAGGCAAAAUCCCAGGCAUUCUGUGAUCCAAAUUCAUUUAUUUCUGUCCAUGUCUUCCAGUAUAGGCGUUGUAAUCUUCAGAUUAAACAUUGGUCAGUUAUGCCAUUUCUGUAUUGAAAAGAUGAUAAUGAUUUUAAAUUUUACCAAAGACUACUCAUCAUCAGCAGCAAUGAAAACAUUUUCUUUGUGUUAAAUGUAAAUCAUUUUCCUGUAUCUUCCAUCAAACAGCAUUUACAAAGAAGACUGAGGACUGCCUGCUCUCAUUCAACUCAUACUGUUAAAUGCAAAAACCACUCGUGGUCGUUAUGUUUGUUUCAAUGGUAGCAGGAUAACUACCUUUUCUUACAAACAUAUGAUUUUUGGGGGAGGCUUUGGAAUACAUGUGUUUGCCUUUGAUUCUUUCAAUUUUCUUAUGUUUGUGAUCAUUAGCAAAGGAUGCAGUAAAAAUAAAGCACUUCUUUUCUGACUGA